AGGGCCUAUAGCUCAGUUGGUUGGAGCACACGCCUGAUAAGCGUGAGGUCGGUGGUUCAAGUCCAUUUAGGCCCA
rnacentral:tRNA from 1 species